UAGAGAGGUCCCGAGCGUUGUUCGGAUUCACUGGGCGUAAAGGGUGCGUAGGUGGCCUGAAAAGUUUGAUGUGAAAGCUCAGGGCUUAACCCUGAAAUGGCAUUGAAUACUGUCGGGCUGGAGGUUUGGAGGGGGGACUGGAAUUCUUGGUGUAGCAGUGAAAUGCGUAGAUAUCAAGAGGAACACCAGUGGCGAAGGCGAGUCCCUGGACAACACCUGACACUGAGGCACGAAAGCUAGGGGAGCAAACAGG
rnacentral:rRNA from 1 species